CAGUGCCACGGUAAUACGUAGGUGGCAAGCGUUGUCCGGAAUUAUUGGGCGUAAAGGGCUCGCAGGCGGUUUCUUAAGUCUGAUGUGAAAGCCCCCGGCUCAACCGGGGAGGGUCAUUGGAAACUGGGAAACUUGAGUGCAGAAGAGGAGAGUGGAAUUCCACGUGUAGCGGUGAAAUGCGUAGAGAUGUGGAGGAACACCAGUGGCGAAGGCGACUCUCUGGUCUGUAACUGACGCUGAGGGGCGAAAGCGUGGGGAGCGAACAGGAUUAGAUACCCCAGUAGUCCCUGUCUCUUAUACA
rnacentral:rRNA from 1 species